rnacentral:rRNA from 1 species
GAGCGGCGAACGGGUGAGUAACACGUAAGCAACCUACCUCCAAGUUUGGAAUAGCCUUGCCCACGCAUGGCUAAUGCCCGAUGUCCUCCAGGCUUCUCAUGUGGCCUGGAUGAAAGGUGACCUCUACUUGUAAGUUGUCGCUUGGAGAUGGGCUUGCGGCCCAUUAGCUUGUUGGCUGGGUAACGGCCUACCAAGGCUACGAUGGGUAGCCGACCUGAUAGGGUGAUCGGCCACAUUGGGACUGAUAUACCGCCCAGACUCCUACGGGAGGCAGCAGUAAGGAAUUUUGCGCAAUGGACGAAGGUCUGACUCAGCAACGCCGCGUGAGGGAUGAAUGCCUUCGGGUUGUAAACCUCUGUUGGAUGAGAAGAAAAGCUUGAUGGCUAAUAUCCAUCAUGUAUGACGGUAUCGUUCGAGGAAGCUCCGGCUAACUACGUGCCAGCAGCCGCGGUAAUACGUAAGGGGCAAGCGUUGUUCGGAAUCACUGCGCGUACUCGGAGCGUAUGCGGGAAUGUAAGUUAAGACUUAAAUCCACAGGCUCAACCUGUGAUCUGCUUUUAAUACUGCCUUGUCUUGAGUAUGGGAGAGGGUGAUGGAAUUCCGGUGUAACGGUGGAAUGCGUACAUAUCUGGAACACACCUUUGCGAAUGCGGUCACCUGGCCCAAUACUGACGCUGAGGCUCGAAAGCUAGGGGAGCGAACAGGAUUAGAUACCCUGGUAGUCCUAGCGGUAAACGAUGGACACUAGUUGUUGGAGGAGUCAAUCCUUUCAGUGACGAAGUUAUCGCAUUAAGUGUCCCGCCUGGGGAGUACGCUCGCAAGGGUGAAACUCAAAGGAAUUGACGGGGGCCCGCACAAGCGGUGGAGCAUGUGCUUUAAUUCGAUGCAACGCGAAGAACCUUACCUGGGUUUGACAUGGGAGUGAAAUUCGGUAGAGAUACGGACCCUUCCUUUGGGAACACUCUACUCAGGUGCUGCAUGGUAGUGGUCAGUUUGUGUCGUGAGAUGUUGGGUUAAGUCCCGCAACGAGCGCAACCCCUACCCUUAGUUGCCAGCGAGUAAUGUCGGGAACUCUAGGGGGACUGCCUGGUAUAACCAGGAGGAAGGUGGGGAUGACGUCAAAUCAUCAUGGCCGUUACGCCCAGGUCUAGACACGUGGUACAAUGGCCGGUACAACGGGAUGCGAGUCCGCAAGGGUUAGCCAAUCCCUUAAAACCGGUUUCAGUUCGGAUUGGAGUCUGCAACUCGACUCCAUGAAGGUGGAAUCGGUAGUAAUCGUGGAUCAGCAUGCCGCGGUGAAUACGUUCCCGGGCCUUGUACACACCGCCCGUCAAGCCAUGAAAGGCGGGAGUACCGUAAGUCGUUCGUCUAACCC